rnacentral:rRNA from 1 species
AAUAGAUACCCUGGUAGUCCAUGCCGUAAACGUUGGGAACUAGAUGUGGGGACCAUUCCACGGUCUCCGUGUCGCAGCUAACGCAUUAAGUUCCCCGCCUGGGGAGUACGGCCGCAAGGCUAAAACUCAAAGGAAUUGACGGGGGCCCGCACAAGCGGCGGAGCAUGCGGAUUAAUUCGAUGCAACGCGAAGAACCUUACCAAGGCUUGACAUAUACGAGAACGCCGUAGAAAUACGGAACUCUUUGGACACUCGUAUACAGGUGGUGCAUGGUUGUCGUCAGCUCGUGUCGUGAGAUGUUGGGUUAAGUCCCGCAACGAGCGCAACCCUCGUCGUAUGUUGCCAGCACGUAAUGGUGGGAACUCAUAUGAGACUGCCGGGGUCAACUCGGAGGAAGGUGGGGAUGAGGUCAAAUCAUCAUGCCCCUUAUGUCUUGGGCUUCACGCAUGCUACAAUGGCCGGUACAAAGGGCUGCAAUACCGCGAGGUGGUAGCGAAUCCCAAAAACGCCGUCUCAGUUCGGUAUUGAGGUCUGCAACCG